rnacentral:rRNA from 1 species
UACGAAGGGGGCGAGCGUUGUCCGGAUUUACUGGGCGUAAAGAGCGCGCAGGCGGUCGAUCAAGUCGAGUGUGAAAGCCCCCGGCUCAACUGGGGAGGGUCAUUCGAUACUGAUCGACUCGAAGGCAGGAGAGGGUAGUGGAAUUCCCGGUGUAGUGGUGAAAUGCGUAGAUAUUGGGAGGAACACCAGUGGCGAAGGCGGCUCACUGGACCGGAACUGACGCUGAGGCGCGAAAGCGUGGGGAGCAAACGGG